rnacentral:rRNA from 1 species
AGAAUCAACGCUGGCGGCGUGCCUAACACAUGCAAGUCGAACGAGAAAGGGGUAGCAAUACCCCGAGUAAAGUGGCGCACGGGUGAGUAACACGUGACUAACCUACCCUUGAGUGGGGGAUAACUGAGGGAAACCUUAGCUAAUACCGCAUAAUACCCACGGGUCAAAGGAGCAAUUCGCUCGAGGAGGGGGUCGCGGCCGAUUAGUUAGUUGGCGGGGUAAUGGCCCACCAAGACGAUGAUCGGUAUCC